GACGAACGCUGGCGGCGUGCUUAACACAUGCAAGUAGAACGGAGUGGCGAACGGGUGAGUAACACGGGGGUGAUCUGCCUUGCACUUUGGGAUAAGCGGGGGAAACUGGGUCAAGUACCGGAUAGUGCACGAUGAGCUCGCGGCCUAUUAGCUUGUUGGUGGGGUAAUGGCCUACCAAGGCGUCGACGGGUAGCCGGCCUGAGAGUGGGUACGGCCACAUAGGGACUGGGGUACGGGCCAGACUGCAACGGGGGGCAGCGGGGGGGACUUUUGCACAAUGGGCGGAAGCCUGAUGCAGCGACGCCGGGUGGGGGAUGAAGGGUUUCGGGGUGUAAACUCCUUGCGACAGGGACGCGGUACCUGUACAAGAAGCACCGGCUAACUACGUGCCAGCAGCCGCGGUAAUUC
rnacentral:rRNA from 1 species